rnacentral:tRNA from 1 species
GCGGGAGUGGCGUAACAGGCAGCCGCGAUAGGUUUAGGUCCUAUUGUCCGAUUGGACGUAGGGGUUCGAGUCCCCUCUCCCGCACCA